GGGGUUCUGUGGCACGCAGAUGGGCGGUUAUUAUUAUGCUAAACUGGGAAUGGGUAAUCCCACAAUACAAGAUGAUUUAGCUCUCAAUUCCUCGUCACCAGCUCCAAGUUAACUCUGGAAUUAGCUCCCACAUGUCACACCUCAGAGGCAACACUGAACUCACUCUGAAUUAUUUAGAGCUCCUUAGCAGCAGUUUCACUUGGGGUACUCAAGCUGAAAGGAAUCUGGAGUAUUACAGGAUGAGAAAAAUCGGUGUUUUAAGCCAAAAUCACCUCAAAUGUUUAACUCAUCCACAGUCUGACAAAAGCUAAUGGCCCACAGACCCUAUUCUGCAUCUGUAACUUAUUAAAUACGUUUUAACAGGAUGAAGAAGCAAACCCUGUUUGUUGCUGCCCCCUGAGCUGCACAUCAGCUGCACAUCACCUCAGCCUGAACCAGGCUGUAUUUACUGACUGCUGUACCCUGGCACACGGGAGGAAUAAAUGGGGAGUAUUUGUACCUCCUUGCUCUCUGCAUGAGGAAGCCAUAAGGAAGCUUGUAAAUACAAAGCUGAAUUUGUGACAAACUGUACCUUCUGUCAGCGACGAGCCCGGGGCCUCAGGGGAGAGAGAGCAUCCACAGGAGGAGUUUUUCCGAGUGUGUGACUGCAAUCCGGCCGAGCCAGCCCUGCUCCCACAGGGAAGUUGACUCUAAUAAAUGUUCUCUCGGGCAUUACCUGCCGAGCCCAGGGGGCAGCGCCGGGCUCUGCACGGCCCCCGUGCUCCGCAGCCACCGCCUCGGCUUUGUGGUCGGUUCUUCCCAAGAAGUCCUUGCUCGGGUCCAAGUCAGACUAAAUCCAGAGCCAGCGCUCGGCACACGCAGCAAUUACCGACAGGGAGAUUUAGAGGCCCUGACCUUUCUUUCUUAUCUUCAGUCAUUAUCAGAUUUCAUCUUCCAGUCAAUAAAAUCCGCUACAAAGACA